rnacentral:rRNA from 1 species
UACAGAGGGGGCGAGCGUUGUUCGGAAUUACUGGGCGUAAAGGGCGCGUAGGCGGCCUUCUAAGUCGAACGUGAAAUCCCCGGGCUCAACCCGGGAACUGCGUCCGAUACUGGGAGGCUUGAAUCCGGGAGAGGGAUGUGGAAUUCCAGGUGUAGCGGUGAAAUGCGUAGAUAUCUGGAGGAACACCGGUGGCGAAGGCGGCACCCUGGACCGGUAUUGACGCUGAGGCGCGAAAGCCAGGGGAGCAAACAGG